UGGAUGUAGGACGCCCAGCCAUGGACGAGCAGCAGCGGCAGGAUGGAUGUGGCUUCCCUUGCUACAGGACGUGGGUGUUGGAGAACCAAGUGGCCUUGCACGAGCUCGACCCUGGCGCUCUUCCUAAGAUGAUUGCCUUCAUUCAUGUUUCAACGUGAGCUCUAGGUCGAAGUUGGAAGAAGACAUGCAGGAUCUAGGCAAGCAUGCAUGCUCUCUUAUCCCUCCUUCUGCUCCUUAGGAGAUGUGAAUUUCUGGGACUUCUGAUGUACUCCCAGCAUUUAUCUCUUCUCUUAUCUGUGGUCUGGUGUCAUAUUAUGGUCUAAUAUGUUUUGUUUUGACUCUUUUUCUGGUGCGAGGAAAGCUGUGAGUAGACGUCAACUAUGCCUACUUGCUUGGCUGCUACAGUGAUGCAUGCGCCGGUCAAGCAAGCACACAUGCAUAUACAUACAUGUUAGGAUAGUAGCAGAUAUUCCCUCCGUUCCUGCUAUAUUCCUAUGUAAAUGUAUUUCUGAGAUGAUUUUGUUGUGUUAUGUAAACCUGGGAGAUGUGUUAUGUGAUGUGAUAUGAUGAAUGAUUUGAAUUCGACAUGGAGUUUUCUUGAUUUGAAUAUGAAACAAUUUUGUCCAAA